UACGAAGGGGGGCUAGCGUUGCUCGGAAUCACUGGGCGUAAAGCGCACGUAGGCGGCUUCUUAAGUCAGGGGUGAAAUCCUGGAGCUCAACUCCAGAACUGCCUUUGAUACUGAGGAGCUUGAGUUCGGGAGAGGUGAGUGGAACUGCGAGUGUAGAGGUGAAAUUCGUAGAUAUUCGCAAGAACACCAGUGGCGAAGGCGCUCACUGGCCCGAUACUGACGCUGAGGCACGAAGGCCAGGGGAGCAAACGGG
rnacentral:rRNA from 1 species